CAUGCAAGUCGAACGAAGUAGCAAUACUUAGUGGCAGACGGGUGAGUAACAUGUAGGUAUCUUCCCUUUGGUGAGGAAUAACACGAGGAAACUUGUGCUAAUACCUCAUAAGUCUUUACGGAGAAAGCUUUAUGCGCCGAAGGAUGAGCCUGCACUUGAUUAGUUUGUUGGUGGGGUAAUGGCCUACCAAGACUUUGAUCUAUAGCUGAUCUGAGAGGAUGAUCAGCCACAUUGGGACUGAGACACGGCCCAAACUCCUACGGGAGGCAGCAGUAGGGAAUAUUGCACAAUGGAGGAAACUCUGAUGCAGCGAUGCCGCGUGAGUGAAGAAGGCCUUUGGGUUGUAAAGCUCUUUCGUCGGGGAAGAAAAUGACUGUACCCGAAUAAGAAGGUCCGGCUAACUUCGUGCCAGCAGCCGCGGUAAUACGAAGGGACCUAGCGUAGUUCGGAAUUACUGGGCUUAAAGAGUUCGUAGGUGGUUAAAAAAGUUGGUGGUGAAAUCCCAGAGCUUAACUCUGGAACUGCCAUCAAAACUUUUUAGCUAGAGUAUGAUAGAGGAAAGCAGAAUUUCUAGUGUAGAGGUGAAAUUCGUAGAUAUUAGAAAGAAUACCAAUUGCGAAGGCAGCUUUCUGGAUCAUACUACG
rnacentral:rRNA from 1 species